GAUGAACGCUGGCGGCGUGCCUAAUACAUGCAAGUCGAGCGAACGGACGAGAAGCUUGCUUCUCUGAUGUUAGCGGCGGACGGGUGAGUAACACGUGGAUAACCUACCUAUAAUACUGGGAUAACUUCGGGAAACCGGAGCUAAUACCGGAUAAUCUUUUGAACCGCAUGGUUCAAUAGUGAAAGACGGUCUUGCUGUCACUUAUAGCUGGAUCCCGGCUGCAUUAGCUAGUUGGUAAGGUAACGGCUUACCAAGGCAACGAUGCAUAGCCGACCUGAGAGGGUGAUCGGCCACACUGGAACGGAGACACGGUCCAGACUCCUACGGGAGGCAGCAGUAGGGAAUCUGCCGCAAUGGGCGAAAGCCUGACGGAGCAACGCCGCGUGAGUGAUGAAGGUCUUCGGAUCGUAAAACUCUGUUAUUAGGGAAGAACAUAUGUGUAAGUAACUGUGCACAUCUUGACGGUACCUAAUCAGAAAGCCACGGCUAACUACGUG
rnacentral:rRNA from 1 species